UACAAAAUCUAAAUAUCUAAUUCAAAUUCCAUUCGACUUCUCCAAACAAAAUCAAAAAAUGAAUCGGCGACUGGCAGCGACCGAGCGAGCGCGACCAACUGAGAGGAACAAACGAGACUGUGCGACGAUAAUCAAGAUGACGGACGAUCGACGGACGAAGAGGAGAGACGAAAUCCGACUGAUCAACCGAUGGCGAUGAGAGAGAAUAUUCGACUGAUACGGACAGAAAUUGGUUUCUGCAGCUUUGUUCCAUCAAAGUCAAUCCUAUUAUUUGGAUUGGUGGUUUUAUUGUUCUCUUAGCUUUUUGUAAACCCUGGUCGCUGAUAUGGAAUAUGGCCAAGGUUGGCUCCUAAUUUUUUUUUUUUUUUAAAUUAUGAUGUAGAGGAAGCCUUUGAAUUCUUGAUAUGAUAUAGAGGCAAUGUUUUAUGUAUAUUUACUCGCAUUUUUAUUGCUUAAUCAAUCCUUUCUUAUAGUUUAAGUAUGCUUUAUGAUAUGAAUAAUAGCUAUCAAUACGUUUCACAGGUUUUGGCGUGUCUUUUCCUUUUGUUUGCCCGUUCUGGUUUUUGUUUUUUUGGGCACUCUUUGAAAAUUAAUAAAAUAAUUAGGCUUUGCUGUUGGUGUCUUUACCUUCAUGUUAACCUUGUUGACUAUUUAAAUGCCUUACUGAUGCAUACUUUUUGAGUUUUCAUCCAGUGUCUCAGAGUCCCUGUUAUAAGUUUCUGACUCUUUUGGCAGGAAGAGAAAUUAAGAGGUCCGGUUGUUCUCAUUUUCGCAAACAAGCUGUUGGAAAGUCGACAAACAUCUUGGUGGAUAAAAUUGAUAGGCAAGAGUUACUUCAACAGGAGGGAUGUGUCAUAUGGAUUACUGGUCUCAGUGGUUCAGGCUCUUGUUUCAUCAUGGAAGAAGGGCGAUGCAAUGCUGUUCAUAUUUGAUACGGGUAAUUAAUUCUGGGUGUAGAAAAGAGCUUCAGCUUGUAGUAACCAGUCUAACCUGCCAGAGUUCCCGGAAUCUGCAGUGCAGUUAGGGCAUCUUGCUGCAAUGCUUUUGCAACUUUCUGAGGAUAUACCACACAUUUGUCAUCACAGCUGCUGCAAGAUGAAAGAAUUACAUGGAAAAUUCAAUACAGAAAAAACUAUGGACAGAAGAUAGAAAACCUUUCGCUCUGAAUAAAUUAGAUUACAAGAAGAAGAAAGACUAUUGUGUAUUCUUUUUGACUAAGCUCUUAAUCGUAGCUUACUCUGUUUUACAUCACUUAUAUUAUUUCCUUUUAUAUACACUAUGAUACAGCUUUUAUAUGAGAACCUUAUUUGGUA